CAGAUGCGGCUCCUGGGGCACUUGCAUUCCCCCAGCAGACCGAGUGAAGGGCCUGGAACAACACACACCUGCUUCUGACCAGAAUGUGGCUGGGUGGACGUUCUGUAGCCCCAGCUCCUCCCUGACCUCAGCUAAAUGACCUGUCCCAGUCCUGGAGUCCACAUCUCCAAAACCCAGGUAGCGGUCUGGGAUGCUGGAGACCUGGAGACCGGCUCCAGGCCUCCCGCAUCCAAACACUUGGCAGACGUGUCUCGCCAGCAGCUGGGGAGGAGGGCUGAUACACCGGAAAGCUGACAGCACAGGCACUGAAUCUUCUGCUCUGGACCCUCCUUCUCAGAGAACCUUCCAAGAGGGCAGGGACCCAGCAUGCAUUGUCUGUGCUCCUCUUCAUGCCUGUCCAGUCACCUGUGGUCCCCUCGGCCACCACACUGUCCUCGGAGCCCGCUCACCUCCACAGCCCCAGGGCCCAGCCCAGCUGUCAGUUCACAG
rnacentral:lncRNA from 1 species